rnacentral:rRNA from 1 species
CAGCCGCCGCGGUAAUACGAAGGGGGCUAGCGUUGUUCGGAUUUACUGGGCGUAAAGCGCACGUAGGCGGACUUUUAAGUCAGGGGUGAAAUCCCGGGGCUCAACCCCGGAACUGCCUUUGAUACUGGAAGUCUUGAGUAUGGUAGAGGUGAGUGGAAUUCCGAGUGUAGAGGUGAAAUUCGUAGAUAUUCGGAGGAACACCAGUGGCGAAGGCGGCUCACUGGACCAUUACUGACGCUGAGGUGCGAAAGCGUGGGGAGCAAACAGGAUUAGAGACCCCAGUAGUCCCUGUCUCUUAUAA